rnacentral:lncRNA from 1 species
CUUAACUUCAGGGAGAUGAUGCAAAGGACUAAUCCUAGCAAUGCCUGUGGCGUCCAGGCCCCAAAAUAGCCACCCCAGGGGCCCACCUUAUCAUGUCUAUGGGAAAUAUCAUAGGGUGAGACAGAGGAAGUGCAGAGCUGCUGUCCCUUGAUAACAUUUUUGUGGCCCUCAGAGGAAGGAUUAAAAUAGGGCUGCUCUGCUUGUCCUCGGCUGUUGGAAGUGCUGCUUGCACGGUGAGUCACGCUCUUGGGGCUCUGCUGUGGGAAGCACUGAGCAUGACCACCACCACCCCAUCACCCGGAGACGCUGGACGGGAUGCAAGACUAUUUAUUUCAGGUUCAGGUUUUGCCCCACAGAAGAAAACAGUCUGGAAGCGCACAUAAGCAGUUCAUCUCUGCUUUCAUCUACCUCUGAACUUCAUACAAUUGGGCCUGUUCUCCUCGGUAAGCCAUUGUCACUGGCUUUCGGGCUCAUGUCUACUCCCCUGCCAGCAAAGCAAGCAGUCUCAUCUCUUACACUCGACUCCUAG